rnacentral:rRNA from 1 species
AUGCGCAACCUCCUCUCGAAUUCGUUUGAGCUCAACAAGGAGGAACGGCCCCCGGGGAAUGUCGAUAUUGAGCUAGGUUUGCAAGGCGACCUGUCGGGUUCCGCACAGCCAGGUUUCGAUGGCUUCUAUGAACAGGUCAGGGAGAUUGAUAAGUUGCUUGAGACGUUGACAAAACUACUGAAGGAUCUUCAGAACUCAAACGAGGAAUCAAAAAUUGUCACUAAGGCAUCAGCUAUGAAAGAUAUCAAAAGGCGCAUGGAGAAGGAUGUUAAUGAAGUGACAAAGGUUGCACGGCUCACAAAAUCAAAACUUCAGCAAUUGAAUAAAGAGAAUCUUGCAAACAGAGAAAAGCCGGUCUUUCACAAGGGAUCAAGUGUGGACCGAUCUCGGACCUCAGUGACAAUUACAUUGACUAUGAGGUUGAGAGAACGCAUAUCAGAGUUUCAGACACUAAGAGAAGCAAUCCAGACGGAGUACAGGGAAGUUGUAGAGCGGCGUGUUUUCACCGUAACGGGCGAGCGUGCUGAUGAAGAGACUAUUGACAAGCUGAUAGAAACAGGCGACAGUGAGCAAAUUUUUCAAAGAGCUAUUCAGGAACAAGGGCGUGGAAGGGUGCUCGACACACUCCAAGAGAUCCAGGAGCGGCAUGACAUGGUGAAAGAGAUCGAGACUAAGCUCCUUGAGCUGCAGCAGAUUUUCCUCGACUUGUCGGUACUGGUUGAGGCGCAAGGCGAGAUCCUGAACAACAUCGAAGUGCAGGUUACAGGUGCAGUGGAGCAUGUUCAGACUGGAACAAACCUCCUUCAGAAGGCGAGGGUCCUGCAAAAAAACACGCGGAAAUGGACCUGCAUAGCGAUCAUCAUCCUGCUGAUCAUCGUACUCGUCAUCGUCCUCUCGUUGAAACCGUGGGCAAAGAAGUAG